rnacentral:lncRNA from 1 species
CUCACUGGUUAUGAGAGAAAUUAAUGACAACAGAGUCAGGGCGGCUAGGUGGUCUAGUGGAGUAAGUCUCCGGUAAAGCAUCGCUAAAUACCAGGUUUGAUUCCUGGAUCCGUCGUUGAUUUCUCAAAUUCACCAGUUGUUCGUAUUUACA